AGAGUUUGAUCCUGGCUCAGAACGAACGCUGGCGGCGUGCUUAACACAUGCAAGUCGAGCGAGAAAGGGGGGGGCAACCUCCCUGAGUAGAGCGGCGCACGGGCGAGUAACGUGUGGGUAACCUACCCCUCGGCGGGGGAUAACUACUCGAAAGGGUGGCUAAUACCGCAUGAGACCACGGGGUCCUCGGACCCUAAGGCCAAAGGCCGCUCCGGCUUGCCGGGGCGGUCACCGGAGGAUGGGCCCGCGUCCGAUUAGCUAGUUGGUGAGGUAACGGCUCACCAAGGCUACGAUCGGUAGCUGGUCUGAGAGGAUGAUCAGCCACACUGGAACUGGAACACGGUCCAGACUCCUACGGGAGGCAGCAGUGAGGAAUAUUGCGCAAUGGGGGAAACCCUGACGCAGCAACGCCGCGUGGGUGAAGAAGGCCUUCGGGUCGUAAAGCCCUUUCGGACGGGACGAACGCUCCGCGGUGACAACCCGCGGAGUCUGACGGUACCGUAAGAAGAAGCACCGGCUAACUCCGUGCCAGCAGCCGCGGUAAUACGGAGGGUGCAAGCGUUGUUCGGAAUUACUGGGCGUAAAGCGCGUGUAGGCGGCCUUGCAAGCCAGACGUGAAAGCGCUCGGCUUAACCGGGGAAGUGCGUCUGGAACUGCUCGGCUCGAGUACGGGAGAGGGAGGCGGAAUUCCCAGUGUAGAGGUGAAAUUCGUAGAUAUUGGGAGGAACACCGGUGGCGAAAGCGGCCUCCUGGACCGAUACUGACGCUGAGACGCGAAAGCGUGGGGAGCAAACAGGAUUAGAUACCCUGGUAGUCCACGCGGUAAACGAUGGGCACUAGGUGUGGGGGGUAUCCACUCCUCCCGUGCCGCAGCUAACGCACUAAGUGCCCCGCCUGGGGAGUACGGCCGCAAGGUUAAAACUCAAAGGAAUUGACGG
rnacentral:rRNA from 1 species